rnacentral:lncRNA from 1 species
CACACUGAGAACAAUUUUUUUCAUUCCUUCUUUGCUUUUGGCUUAACAUCUCCGAGAGGCAUGAAUGGUUGUUCACGUUUUCUUUCAAUGAUUGAAUGGAAAGCCACCUAUUUUUUGCCUUUUAGUUUCUUGCUGGAACGUGUUCUUUGCAUUGGUUACAAUCUGUAACAUGAAAAGGGUCACUCAUUGUCCAUUGGAAAUAGCAUUUCUAUCUUCUCAUUAAUGCAAAGGGUGAAGCUGGAAGGGAUUAGCUUGUUUCCUUGAUUGAAGAGGAGGUUAGGUGGGGUCACAGCUGUUUGAAGAAUUAAAGAAAGAGGAUUAGAUAGAUGGCAGAGUUAAGAAAAGAGGGUUGCAGCGUGGAGUGUGCCUUUGCUUCCAUCACAUCAUUGCACAUGUUGAAAUAUUUUUUUGAGAAUUAAAUGAGAGAUGGCAUCAAUGGCUGGUACGUUGCAGUAGGAAGUAUUGCAGUAGGAAGUAAAUUUAAUUUGCUGAAAAGGGUGCAAGCUUCAAUGCUAUUUUGAAUAUGGUGGGUCCGGUCUCAGAAUGAAGAUUCAAUUUGUUGCUGGAAGAUGGGUUCCAAUCACGGUGCAUUUACUUAGUAUGCAAAAGCAUUUCUUUCAUCUUGGGAAUUAUAAUUAAAUGAAGGCAUUGGUUAUAUACCCUUGGUCACGGUGCUGGAAAGAGGAAAAUAGUUCUCAACUUUGAAAUCAUGGAAUUUAGUAGUCAUGGCCAGGAGGUUAUUUUACAACAUUGCAAAUUCAAUUUCAUUAGUAGAUGCAUUGGUCAUAU